AACGAACGCUGGCGGCAGGCUUAACACAUGCAAGUCGAACGGUAAGGCCCUUCGGGGUACACGAGUGGCGAACGGGUGAGUAACACGUGGGUGAUCUGCCCUGCACUUCGGGAUAAGCCUGGGAAACUGGGUCUAAUACCGGAUAGGACUCCGGACUGCAUGGUCUGGGGUGGAAAGCUUUUGCGGUGUGGGAUGGGCCCGCGGCCUAUCAGCUUGUUGGUGGGGUGAUGGCCUACCAAGGCGACGACGGGUAGCCGGCCUGAGAGGGCGACCGGCCACGCUGGGACUGAGAUACGGCCCAGACGCCUACGGGAGGCAGCAGUGGGGAAGAUUGCACAAUGGGCGCAAGCCUGAUGCAGCGACGCCGCGUGAGGGAUGACGGCCUUCGGGUUGUAAACCUCUUUCAGCAUCGACGAAGCGAAAGUGACGGUAGGUGCAGAAGAAGGACCGGCCAACUACGUGCCAGCAGCCGCGGUAA
rnacentral:rRNA from 1 species